rnacentral:rRNA from 1 species
UCCGUAGGCGGUGUGGUAAGUCGAUAGUGAAAUCUCUGGGCUUAACCCAGAGGCUGCUAACGAAACUGCCAUGCUAGAGUGUGAGAGAGGCGAGUGGAAUUACGGGUGUAGCGGUGAAAUGCGUAGAUAUCCGUAGGAACAUCCGAGGCGAAGGCGGCUCGCUGGAUCACAACUGACGCUGAGGGACGAAAGCUAGGGGAGCAAACAGGAUUAGAUACCCUGGUAGUCCUAGCCCUAAACCAUCAGGACUUGGGGUUUGCCCUGUACGGGUCAAGUCCCGUAGCUAACGCGUUAAGUCCUGCGCCUGGGGAGUACGGUCGCAAGGCUGAA